rnacentral:rRNA from 1 species
CGAACGGGUGAGUAAUACAUCGGAACGUGUCCGCUCGUGGGGGACAACCAGCCGAAAGGUUGGCUAAUACCGCAUGAGUUCUACGGAAGAAAGAGGGGGACCCGCAAGGGCCUCUCGCGAGCGGAGCGGCCGAUGACUGAUUAGCCUGUCGGUGAGGUAACGGCUCACCAAAGCAACGAUCAGUAGCUGGUCUGAGAGGACGACCAGCCACACUGGGACUGAGACACGGCCCAGACUCCUACGGGAGGCAGCAG